GGAGGUGGAUGCUGACGAGGCUGAUGAGCAUCAGCCUGCCGAAUUGUCAGCGAAGGGAGCAGAGCUUAUUUAUUCGGCUGGAGGAGGUGGUGGAGGCUAGGGCUCUUGUGAGAGGAGGUGAUCUUGAAUCUCAGUGAAGGUGGUCUUGGAUUUUGCAUCACAGUUUCUCCAUUGGUGCUUCUGAGCAGGUGUUUGCAAUAUUUGGAACCUACGGGGUCCCCUUCGAGGCUGGUGGCACCACCAGCUGGUCUCAUCUCUUGGUGAUGGAGGCUGGGAUUGGUGCUGGUGGCUGGAGCCCAGCUCGGAGCUUUCCCCUCGUGUGGGUGUGCGUAUGCGUCCGUACGGUCCAAGCAAGUCUGUUCCUGUUGGGGAGAUCAGUGUCAAAAGUGUAUUUUGUAAGAGCUGGCUGAGCUCCCGUUUCCACAUUGCUAACCAAAAGCACAGGGUGAGGAGCCAGGGGAAGGAAGGAUGUGCUGCAGAGCCCUUGGCACAAGGAACCCCUCAGGGAGAUGAGGCAGAGGUUUGUCCUGGUGGGCUGGGCACUGAGGGACAGCCUGGAUCUGGUGUGACCGUAGUGAUGACGUGGAAAAACCCCUGCUGGGGGAUGGGGACCAGCUCCAAAAGGCUUCUGCUCCCCCGGUGCUUACAAGACAGGAGCAAGUAUGGACACGUGGGAUCUAGCUCCGUCUCUCCCUUUUGUCUCUGUGCAAAUCUUACGUUCUCCAACCCUCCUGAUGCUUACAGAAAGGUGUUUUUUUAAUUAUUUUUUCCCCUGAAGUGCCUGAACACCUGAGGCUGAAAAUCCUGUUCUCACCUCAGCCUCCCCUUCUUGUUCCCGUAGCGCUGUGCUUGCAGGCAUCUCGGGAUGCCUGGGAGCAGCUGGGGUCUGGAUGCGGUGGCGAGGUCCCUCUGAAGGGACCAUGCUGGGUCCUGCCCCUGCACUGCCCUGGUCAGAGAACAACCUGCUGGCCAGGGUAGGGGUCUUCUACAGGGAACGUGUCAGUCCCCAUAAACCCAGGUAGGGCUGCUGGUGUCUCCUUUGGUCAUCAUCCCUGGGGUGAGAAGUGACUACCUUUGGCAUCCAUAAUUUUGUCUGAUGAAAACCAUCCUCUGGGGUAUUCUAAACCUUGCUGUGCACAUUAUAUGGCUGGGGAUGGGGUCUUUGCACCCAGCCUGCCCUCAUCAGCCUUUUCCACACUCGUUCUCCUUGCUGGAAUGGCAGAAAGGAGGAAGGUGUGCUGGGUGGAACUGGCUUCGUGAACCUUGUGGUAGAUGUGGGCACCGUGUUGGGGUGCCUGGCCUGCCUCUGUUAGCAGGAGGAAAGCAGCAAGGGAUGGAGAGCGUGACUUGUUCCACUCAGUGCAUUAACCCAUCCCUCUGCUUUUCAGGUUGUAUCUUCUGAGGUGGGGGUGAGGGGGGACAAACAGCCAAAAGUGGCCCUCAGGGGAAACGGGACACCUGUGGUGGGAGCAGCUUUCAAAUCCUAGCCAUUCCCUGGCAUUUUUUUUAUUUUUUUUUCACAUUUUUCUCCAGUUCUCUUUUCUGUCAAGCCCAGAAAAAUGGUAUUUAAUCUGCAGCUCGAGUGCACAGAUGGAAUAAAUAGACUCUCACAGGCCUCGAGCAGUGGAGAUUUAAGAUGGGUAAAAACAAGAGUUUGCAGAAGACAGGCUGAAGAUUUCACUGUAGCUCUGGAGGAUGCACGGGACUCCUUUCCGCAAAGUUAGAUAUUCCCUAUGCUGAUCAUUCAGGGCUCUGGCUAUAGCCAAGAAGUUGGUGGGAGGAUGUUCCCAUCUCAGAAGCACCAACGUCACCUCCUACCAGGAGCAGGAGGGACUGUGUCCCUGGUGGGACAAGGGUAUCCUGAAGAUGACACACAGAGACUUCAGUAAUCAGCUUAAAGUCCUUAAUGGAAACGCUCACAGACAGGAACGCUUAACUCCAUUUUUUCUGGGCUGAGACUUUCUCCUUUGUCUUUUUGUGCUGUGUUGAGGCUAGCAGCAUCCUGGGCCUGGCUGACUUCUCCGGGUGAACAAAAGCCGUGUUCCUGCAUAAAGCUCAUUGUGAGACUUGGCUGGGUUUCCUCUCCGUCAGUGUUUGCAGAGCUUAAGGUGACAACAGCUACAGGCUUUUUUGGUGAUGCUGAAUUUGCAGUUCUCUGGGUCUGAGUUUUAAAUUUCAUCCUGGCAUGAGGCUGACCAGGCGUGGUGUGAAGGCCAGAACAAGGGGAAGGCUGGAGGCAGGGUGAUGCAUGUACUGGAAUACAGUUUUGGCAUUGUGCGCUAAAAUAGCAAGAAAUGAGAUGUCAAAGGGGGGCUUUUUUUUUUUUUUUUUUUUUUUUUUCCUCCAAAUAUUUUAUGCUUGAAACCUAAAUGAUAAACCACAUGAUAAACCACUGCUCUUUCAGGAGGCUGAACGUGUCCCUGAUUACCUGACAAAAUAGCCAUAGGUUUUCAGUUUAUAUUAGUAGAUGUGGAGUGGCCUUAAGGGAUGCUGUUGGAUGGAAUGGGAUAAGUGAAAUGUAAAAUGCAGUCUUUAACAUAAAUGUAACUGGAAAUUAAAAGUAAACUUUGAAAACAAAAUAAGAGAAAUAAUACUACAAAAAAAAAAAAAAGAGAAAACUGUUGAUGUGAAGAUAAUGGAAACUGUCAUUAAAAGUUACUUACAAAUGUGAGCUUUUGUUCUGAGAAUGCCUCCUAAUGUGUCUGACCAUCCAGCUCAUUCCAAAUUUCCAUAAUAUAUAUGUAUGAAGUGCAAAUUUUUUCACAAUGAAGUUAUGGUUUCAAUGUUACACCCUCGCUGCCCACAAAAUACACAGACUUCAAAUUAACAAAUAUACAUGCCUCAAAGUCUACACAAUGCCGGCCACAAAUAUGCAUGCAGGAAUGCUGGUUGCUAGAGUUCGGAGUCAGCUAUUAGGGAACAGUUGUAUGGUGUUCAGAUAAUUUGUUCUUAAAUGCCACACACGUACCACAUGGUUCAGAUGUGGUUUGGGGAGCCAUAAAAUGGGAUUUCAAACUGGUUCUGUCCCUGCUCUUAAACCCAGAGCUCAGUUAGGGCUCAGAUGCAUCACAGGCGUCCUGAGUCUGGGAUAUUGUGACUAUCUGGGUUUUGUGGGGGCUAAAAGGCACGGGUGCAGCUGCUUAUUAGAGAAUGUGUGCACGUGCCAGCCUGCAGUGAAAUGUACUUGAAAUAACCUAUGCUAUAUGCCUCUACGAGGAUGAUGGCCCUGAUGAUUUAGCUAUUUCUGUUCCAGCUUGAAUUAUUCAUGUAUUUGAAAACACUCAUGAAUUAUUUGUGUUUUCACUAAAUAUAUAAUUUAAAAACCCAAAUCCUUCUGAUGAAAUGUAGAAAUGAAAUUUUUUGGUCGUUAGUGCUGGUGCUCGGAGCUGCUGCCCCCCCUAGGAAGACCCCUCAGCCGUAGGCUCGCGGGGAGCUGCGCUGCCAGGGCACACCAGCAGCGGUGCCGACAGGGGACCGACCCCUGAUUCAGCAAGACAGAGGAAGAGACUUGGAUCUAAUCCUCAGCAUGUCUGCUUUUCUUCUGUGGAUUGAGCCAAAAGGAUCUCGCUGGCUGAGAGGCUUUGCUUUCACCUGGAUGCAGCCUUGCCAUCGAGUUCAUCCCUGCAGUGCCCAGCGGCAACCACUGAACCUUGCAUGUGAUGAUGAGAUAGAAAAGACUGAGACCUGCCAAAACAAAUCCUCGUUGAAAGCCUGCUAGGAGUUUUAGAAAUGAUUUGAAGAACUUAUCUGAGUUGAAUUAGCUUGCUUAAUCACAGCGACACUUUGGCUGAAGACGUUCCCUUGUCACGGAUGCACUGCAGGCUGUGUGGUGUAAUUUAGAGACAGGGACUGGAUGAGAACAGCGAGUCCCCGUGUUUGUACCGCCGUCUGAACACCAUCAGCUUGCCAGACCAAUGCGUUUCAUCAAAGUGGACUUCUCUGUCACAGUGUAAUAGCUGACAGUGAGGUGUGAGCCUGUAGCUGCAAGAGAAAGUAAUGCAUUUGCCAUAUGGUAGAAAUCGAUGUCUGGUAAUGGAUGUUUCAUAUAUUCCAAGGACAUCAUUUGCUCCGAAUGAAAAUUCAUACUUUUUAACUCUUUUUUUUUUUUUUUUUUUUUAGCUGGCAGCCUGCUUUUUAAGCCAAGGUCUUGGCUAAUUCUGCUUUGUGCAGGAUGGUUCUGCAUUCCCUGAAGUCUCAGUGCCUCGGUGCUGGGCGCCACAGCCUUCCUCUGCCUGUGCCCUCCGUGGCCUCACCUUCAUGUUGCCUUCGUCUGUGGUGCCCAGGGAGAUCAAGUUGGAGAGCAUGGCAUUGUGACAGGCUCUGAGCACUCCAGGACUGUGCCCAUUUCAUCCAAUGCUUUUUUAGAAGCAUAGGAGAGGCAUUACAGCAUUAUUGCAUAAGUCAAUACUUCAGUGGGUUUGGAAUUUCAUGUCCUGAUGUUUCACUUC